GCCUGGAAUUCUGCAGAAGCAUUGCUGUAUUUUACCAGACAGGAAUACAGGAUGAAGAUCUUCCCUGCAAAGAAAUAGUCUGGAAGAUUUAGGCACUAGAGGGCUGAAGACAAGCAGGGAGGUCAUGAAAGAGAACAAGGGCCUAUACCAUCAUGGCUUAUUAUUAUCAGUCACCUCCUCAGUCUCUACUAGAACUCUGACACACUUCGAGUCUAUGGAUUUUUCAUGAAGGACGAGAAUAGUUUCAAGUCUGAUUAGAUCUAUGCUACGAUGAGACCACACCUUAUGCCUGGACCUAGAAAGGUGGCGGGAAGGGAAAAAUCGUUACACGUGUUAACCAUAACUUCCAUGAGUAAGGACAGUAAAAGUGAAAAGAGCUUUGACUUGGGAUGGGAAAAUGGAAUGGAUUUCUUUAUGUCAUUGUGGAAAACUUUCAUCACUGACAGGAUAUCAGUAUAAAUUUGUGCUGGAUGCAGUAACUAUGGGCAUCACGUGUUUGCUUCAUUUGGUUAUAUUUUGCCAGAUUCAUUUUUAACAAAUAAAAUGCUAU